UCCACCACACCCGGUGUCAGAGAUUGGCUUGCUGCGCAAUGGGUGAGCGAACUCACUUCAGGUUCGGUAUCACAUUUACUAGGGGGAAAACAGCUACAUUUUCAGUUUUUUUGCAGUUAAGAAAGUUAAACCAAACCAUUCAGAGCCGUUGGCACGUUUUGGAGAGAGAAAUCACCUGCGAUGAGGCCCACUCUGCUGUGUCGUGUCCCUGGGCUGAGCUCUGGUCCUACGGCCUUGCCCUGUUACUUAUUCUCUGUCUCAGCUGCUAGGGAACAAGGUGCCCGAGAAUCCGCCUUGACGCUGCCUCAGCUCUCUCCUCUCUCUCCCACUCCCCCCAGUCUCCAAGCCCUGCACACUGCGUCAAUUCCUAAAUUGUUCCCGGCUCCUUUUCCUCCUCUUUCUUCCUGCAACCACUGGCUUAGCCAAGGCGAUCUCUUGAGGGUUUGAUAAAUUGCCAUCUUCUAGAGCUCCCCACCCCUGACGCUGAUGACUCUCAAUGCCAUCCUUUCAGAGUGCCAGAAUGGUGCACACAAAGGUGACUAUGACAGUGACAGCUUAGACUGUCUCAGUGGUUUCCCUCCCCUUGUCAGGAAGGACAAGCUCCUCACGAGGGCCUCACCCGCUUCACCCUCAGUUGCCUCAUCUUCCCUCUCCUCAGGAUCUGUCACCAGCGACUCGUGCUCAGGCAAAACUCAAGACUGGUAGCCCCCUAUAAACAGCAAGCAGAGCCUGAAGGCGAGUGUGCACGAUGUGGGUUUACCCAGCUCUGAUCAAACAGAGCUGGUCAUGAGCUGGCAAGAGGAGGAAAAGCAAGCAGAUAUCCAAGAAAUUAAAGCCGUCGCUCCUCACCUCUCUUAGAACUCAGACUGAUCCCCUUGUUUCCAGAAGUUGAGGAGUCCCCACGUCAGUGGAGCAUUUUACUUACUUGUCCAGGCCCUGGAGAAGAAGUCUGAGACUGGGCAAGCUGACGGCAGUGUGGCUGCAGCAUAACAGACAUGCACCGUGUCACUUACAUGGAGUUGAGGUGGCCUUUAUGUGUCAGAUUUACUAGAAAUGUAAAAGGGACAACUCUAAUAUAAAGUAUUAAAUUAUUAGAUGUUCCAAAAAUAUUUAUGCUAAGCAUCAGAUUUUCUUGGUGUGUGAAAUGUGUGGAAUGACUAUCACAAUUCCAGGUUUUUAUACUGGUUGGCACAAUUUUAAUCUGGGAAGACAGAUGUUCUGCACUUCUGUGUUUCUCCUUAGGAAUUAUUCAUUCACACAUUGAAUCACUUUUCAAAAUGAUAAACUUUUAUAGAGCACACAUCAAAUGCAAGGUGCCAUAAUAACUUUUUUCAAAUAGUUUUCUUGAGGAUUUAGGGGUAUUAUAUGAUUAAUAAAUGGAGAAAAGAAAUGUUGACAUUAUGCUACAAUGACAGGAAAAAGCUGCCUGGGUCAAGUUAGACUGUCACUCUGAUAAGCUUUUUCUCUGAAAACUGUUGGACUGAGAUGUUAAAAAUGACAUAAGGAUAUUGGGUAGAACAUCAUUUAAGGACCUCCACAAACUGAGAUCCUUUAAGCCGUCUGUAACUUAGAAUAUUUUCACUUAAAAUGGUGUUUGCUGUGGUUGGUUUCCAGGUGACCCAUAAGUCACCUGUGCUCACAGUGUUCCAGAACCUCCUGUCUCACGUAACAACAUACCUAGAGGUCGCGGCAUUCUGAGUUCUACGCAACUAGGGCCCUAGGCACACAACCACUCCAGUCUGAAACUGGCUUCUGAGGAGGGUGGGGCUCUCGGGCUUGAUCCAGUGAUGGGGACAUCACUAACUGGUGGCCAGGGCCCCAGCUUCAGGUGUCCUGGGCCAUGAAGGAACUUUGACCAGAGGCUUGUGGCUGCUCCUUCUGGUCCCCCGGGCACGGAUCCCCUGGCUGGACGUGAUCUUCUGGACAUGAGCAUGUGAAGAUCCAGGGGGGAUGAUUACACAGCACGCGCUGCAUGUGGACUUUCUGACUGGAGAAAUCCGGAGGGCAGAAGGGACAGAGGUGGAGUUCUGGCUUUGCUUCUGCUGCAGAGACAAAGUGUGAGUCAGAACUGAGAUUUGGUGGGGCAGCCCAAGCACUUCCGCCUGGUCUAAUAGCGAGACUCAAUUCCCUGUUCUUUAAAAUGCCUCAGGUUUAAGGGCUACCCAGUCAAGACUUCCUUUAUAUGACCCACUUUUACAGCCCAUCACAUCUUCCAUUACAAUCCAGAAAACCCACUCCUAAGAUCUAUUCUAUGUUUCAGACUAUAAAAGCACCACAGGCAGUUUUGGCUCUGUAAAUAGGGCCAAUAUGCAACAGUCCCCCCCCCCCCACUACAAUUAUCUUCCAACUCACAACCACCUACACUGGUAUCAGCCGUGUCCACAAGUAUUUUCUUUGACUGACAGAUACCUAACCAGAGGACCCAUGUGGAAAUGCCGUUACGUCUUUCCCUAUGUCCCUGUGAGGACAGGGAUGGAGGGAGCAAGCAGUCAUUCAGACUGGAGAACCCCUAGUGUAGGAAGCAGCGUCAGAGCGGCUAGAGAGAUCAUGUGUGAGACAGCCCAGCUGGCGUUUCCCUACCCACUAGGAAGUAUUUAUUACAGGAUUUCUUCGUGCCAGAAUUUCUACAAGGCAGUAGGCUUUCAGCAAUGGGCAACACAAACACAGUCUACGCCUCCAGUGACUUAAAAGAAGCUCCCUCUUGGUGCCCCUGACCAAUCCAAGCCCUAUUAAUUUCCAUAAUUAAGCUAAAUAAAAAUUUCCCCAGAAAUCAGUGGAAAAGAAA